rnacentral:rRNA from 1 species
GAUGAACGCUAGCGAUAGGCUUAACACAUGCAAGUCGAGGGGCAGCAUGGUCUUAGCUUGCUAAGACUGAUGGCGACCGGCGCACGGGUGCGUAACGCGUAUGCAACUUGCCUCACAGAGGGGGAUAACCCGUCGAAAGACGGACUAAUACCGCGUACACUUGGGAUAGGGCAUCCUGACCCAAGGAAAUGAAAUUCGCUGUGAGAUAGGCAUGCGUCCCAUUAGCUAGUUGGUGAGGUAACGGCUCACCAAGGCGACGAUGGGUAGGGGAACUGAGAGGUUGAACCCCCACACUGGUACUGAGACACGGACCAGACUCCUACGGGAGGCAGCAGUGAGGAAUAUUGGUCAAUGGGCGAGAGCCUGAACCAGCCAAGUCGCGUGAAGGAUGACUGUCUUAUGGAUUGUAAACUUCUUUUAUACGGGAAUAACAAGAGCCACGUGUGGCUCCCUGCAUGUACCGUAUGAAUAAGCAGCGGCUAACUCCGUG